UGCCGAUGAUGCAAGUGUUUUGUUGGGAAGUGCUUGCGGAGGCUCUAAUAGGGUUGUGCGGUAUCCAGGUUCCAACUAGGCUUUGGCCGAAUGUAAAAACGCUCAGA
rnacentral:sRNA from 12 species